CAAGUCGAGCGCGAAAGGGGGGGCAACCCCCUGAGUAGAGCGGCGCACGGGUGAGUAACGCGUGGGUAACCUACCCCUGGGCGGGGGAUAACUACUCGAAAGGGUGGCUAAUACCGCUUAAGACCACGGGAUCCACGGAUCCUGAGGCCAAAGGUUGUACCGGCUUGCCGGUGCCGCCACCUGGGGAUGGGCCCGCGUCCGAUUAGCUAGUUGGUGAGGUAACGGCCCACCAAGGCUACGAUCGGUAGCUGGUCUGAGAGGAUGGCCAGCCACACUGGAACUGGAACACGGUCCAGACUCCUACGGGAGGCAGCAGUGAGGAAUAUUGCGCAAUGGGGGAAACCCUGACGCAGCAACGCCGCGUGGGUGAAGAAGGCCUUCGGGUCGUAAAGCCCUUUCGGACGGGACGAAAGCUUUCCGGUGAAAGCCGGAAAGUCUGACGGUACCGUAGGAAGAAGCACCGGCUAACUCCGUGCCAGCAGCCGCGGUAAUACGGAGGGUGCAAGCGUUGUUCGGAAUUACUGGGCGUAAAGCGCGUGUAGGCGGCCUUGUAAGUCAGAUGUGAAAGCCCUCGGCUUAACCGGGGAAGUGCAUCUGAAACUGCUUGGCUUGAGUACGGGAGAGGGAGGCGGAAUUCCCAGUGUAGAGGUGAAAUUCGUAGAUAUUGGGAGGAACACCGGUGGCGAAAGCGGCCUCCUGGACCGAUACUGACGCUGAGACGCGAAAGCGUGGGGAGCAAACAGGAUUAGAUACCCUGGUAGUCCACGCUGUAAACGAUGGGCACUAGGUGUGGGGGGUAUCCACUCCUCCCGUGCCGCAGCUAACGCAUUAAGUGCCCCGCCUGGGGAGUACGGCCGCAGGUUAAAACU
rnacentral:rRNA from 1 species